UCGCAGAAUCUUGAAGGGUGAAGUUCACCAUUGGCACCUGUAGUGAGCGUCUUCUUAGCUAUCUGGCUCACGGUGUUCUUCACUGUGUUCCUCAAAUUCUCUUCUACAUGCCUCAAAUCAAUAGCUUGACAAAGAGCCACCAAGAAUGUAGACGACAUCAGCUUCAAGAUAUCAACAGCUUCGGCAGUUUUUCUGGAAGAGAUUAGUCCCAAAGAAUUCACAUCUUGGUUGUGUUGCUCAGCACUUUGAACAUGGUUGGUGACUGGAUUAGCCAAGUACUGGAGCUCAGAACAAUAGGAAGCCAUUGCAAUUUCAGCACCCUUGAAACCGUAAUCCAAACUUGGAUUCCUACCACCAGAGAGGUUUGAUGGGAGACCAUUGUUGUAGAAAUCAUUAACAAGUUCAGAGAAUUGAGCGAACAUAAGUUUUCCAAUGGCUGCAAUAGCCAAACGAGCAUUGUCCAUUGAGACACCAAUUGGGGUACCCU
rnacentral:lncRNA from 1 species